rnacentral:rRNA from 1 species
GACGAACGCUGGCGGCGUGCCUAAUACAUGCAAGUCGAGCGGACCAAAGGGAGCUUGCUCCUGGAGGUUAGCGGCGAACGGGUGAGUAACACGUGGGCAACCUGCCUGUAAGACUGGGAUAACAUCGAGAAAUCGGUGCUAAUACCGGAUAAUAAAAAGAACUGCAUGGUUCUUUUUGAAAGAUGGUUUCGGCUAUCACUUACAGAUGGGCCCGCGGCGCAUUAGCUAGUUGGUGAGGUAACGGCUCACCAAGGCAACGAUGCGUAGCCGACCUGAGAGGUGAUCGGCCACACUGGGACUGAGACACGGCCCAGACUCCUACGGGAGGCAGCAGUAGGGAAUCUUCCGCAAUGGACGAAAGUCUGACGGAGCAACGCCGCGUGAGUGAUGAAGGUUUUCGG